rnacentral:rRNA from 1 species
GACGAACGCUGGCGGCGUGCUUAACACAUGCAAGUCGGGCGGUAAGGCCCUUUCGGGGGUACACGAGCGGCGAACGGGUGAGUAACACGUGGGUGACCUGCCCUCAGCUCUGGGAUAAGCCUGGGAAACCGGGUCUAAUACUGGAUAUGACUCCAUGACGCAUGUUGGUGGGGUAGGAAAGCCUUGUGCGGCUGAGGAGUGGGCCCGCGGCCUAUCAGCUUGUUGGUGGGGUGAUGGCCUACCAAGGCGACGACGGGUAGCCGGCCUGAGAGGGCGA